rnacentral:rRNA from 1 species
AGUGAACGCUGGCGGUAGGCCUAACACAUGCAAGUCGAACGGAAGCACAGUAAGAUCUUGCUCUUACGGGUGGCGAGUGGCGGACGGGUGAGGAAUACAUCGGAAUCUACUUUUUCGUGGGGGAUUACGUAGGGAAACUUACGCUAAUACCGCAUAUGUCCUACGGGUGAAAGCAGUGGAUAUUCGGACCUUGCGCGAUUGAAUGAGCCGAUGUCGGAUUAGCUAGUUGGCGGGGUAAAGGCCCACCAAGGCGACGAUUCGUAGCUGGUCUGAGAGGAUGGUCCGCCCCACCAGAAAUGGAACCGCGUCCCGACGACUAAGGGAAGGCGCAGUUGGGGAUAGUAGACAGUUGGGGGAAAGCUUGUCCAAUCAACGCCGGUGGGGUGAAGAGGCGCUGCGGUUGGAAAGCCCUUUUGUUGGGAGAAAAAAGCAGCAGGUUAAAACCCCGCUGGUCUGACGGUACCCAAAGAAGAAGCACCGGCUAAAUUCGUG